rnacentral:rRNA from 1 species
UACAGAGGGUGCGAGCGUUGUUCGGAAUUACUGGGCGUAAAGCGCGCGCAGGCGGCCUUUUAAGUCUGACGGUGAAAUGCCGGGGCUCAACCCCGUGCCCGCCGGAGAUACUGGGAGGCUGGAGACGAGUAGAGGCAAGCGGAAUUCCGGGUGUAGCGGUGGAAUGCGUAGAGAUCCGGAGGAAGACCGGUGGCGAAGGCGGCCUGCUGGGCAGUUACUGACACUGAGGCGCGACAGCGUGGGGAGCAAACAGG